ensembl:lncRNA
CCCCAGGAGCCGGGCUGAGGGCAUCUUGGGAAGAGGGGCCAUAGGCUGGACCCCACCAUCACCACCACCACCACCAAGCCGAUGUCCUCUCUACUCCAUACGCUGGGGGAAACCUAGACCCCGAUUGCAGCCAACCUGGCUGUUCCCCUCUUAUUUCGUAAAAAGGACAGCUGGUUCACUGGUUCUGAGAUACCCUGCCAAAGGAGGUCCUGGUGUCCUAGGCAUCCUGGGCUGUAUUGUCUGGCCACCUUGCUUCCCCUGAGCUCAAGAAGUCUUUGAUGGUUCUCCAGGGAAGCCCAGAGAGCUGCAACUCAGAGCAGAGCUAUUCUCCGUAGGGAAUCUGAGGAGUACAAAAUGAACACAGCCAAACCAGACUGCUGAGUGAAGGGAUAAGAAAACAGAAUUUGACAACCAAAGAACUGGACUCGAGUACUGACCAUCUCUGAGAUACCUCAGUUUCUUGAACGUUUAAAUGAGAACAAGAAUAUCUGCUUUCAGAAGCUGUUUUUCCUACGUGAAUAUGAGGGGUUAUCAUGCCUUGCCCCAAGUUCCAGUACCACUGAAAGUGGAUGCCCUGACAUUCAGUCUGGAGCAGCCGAACUCAGGGCUAGCACCCAGGCUGGCCUGGUUCCAAUUCAGGUCUCCCUCAUGCACACUUGUGCUGUGUGACCUUGUCAAUUCUUCCCCUAUCUGGGCCUCACUUCUGUCCUCAUCUGUAAAGUGUUGUGAGCACGACAUGGGUGGGUAAAGUGCGUGGAUGGUCUAAGCAAAACACAUCUGAAUGUUUGGCCUGUGGGUUUCCAUCUGUGAUUGCCUGUUAAGGUUGACGCUGCUGAAGAACCCUUGAAGACCAGCUUGGAGACUCUGUGGCAUUUGCACAGCUCACUGCCACCCUCUGCAGGACGCUCUGAUCUCCUGCGCUGCAUGUUCCCUCUCCCAGCAGACCUCAUUUCAUAAACUGGCUCAAUUUGCAGAGGAUGAAACUGCGAUGAGUACUGGGGAUUCAACUCAGGACCUCGAGCUUGCCAGGCAGGUGCUGCACUGCUGGGCUAUAUCCCUGGCCCCACAUCUCUCAGUUUCUAAGAGCUCAUCAGGGCUCAUAUGAUCAUUAAAUGCCUGGGAAAGAAAGGAGUACUUUUGUGGAGGGUGGGUUUCAUUUACCAAUAAGAUGUCCCUUUCUCUGGUUCUCAGGCCCCAGCUCAGCUCCAUCUUAUUUAUUCAUUUAUUUAGUUUGAGACAGGGUCUCCUUGUGUUGCCCAGGCUGCCUUUGAACGCCUGAAAGGAUCCUCCUGCUUCACCUCGUGAAUAGCCAAGGCUUUAGCCAGUGCCUGGUUUUUAAUAUUUUAUACACAAGCAAAUUCAUUUCAUAAGCUCUGAGCUGUGUAGUUUGGAUUUUCAGGCUCCAUUCUCUUGGCAUAGUGAAUGGUUUAUUGGGCACAAGCUACGUAUUCAAAUAGUGGCUUUUUCCCACUGGUCCUCUUCUGGCCCCAAGGACACUCCAUCCAUGGGACUUCCCUGAAAGUGCUCCCACCCUGGGCCUCUGGUCUUUUUCUUUUCUUUUCUUUUUCUUUUCUUUCUUUCUUUUUUUUUUUUUUGGUACCAGGGAUUGAACUCAGGACCUUGCGCUUGCAAGGCAGGCAGGCGCUAGAACCACUGAGCUAAAUCCCUGGCCCACCUCUGGUCUUUUUCUGCAGACCUGCCUAGCUAGCUGACUUGCUUGUUUUCUUUCCUUCCUUGCAGAACUUUUUUAUCAUCCAUCCCUCCUAAGGGGGAGCAAGGAGGGAGGAGAUACGCGGGGUCUAGACAUACUUAACACCCUGUAACUCUUUAUUUGGUAUCUGUCCCAAAUGGCCUGUGGGGACAUUAGCUAGAUCUAAACUCUGCAAAGAUGCAGUCCAUUUGUUUUAUUUCUCUGUGUCUCUAAGUGCUCAGCAUGAGUAUGGUCAGUGGAGAGCACAGCCCAAGGAGAGAUGCACAUGUGUGUAAAUGAUAAGCAGCCAGUGUUGGGCCAGAGCAGAGAUGUAUGUGUCCUCGGGGAAUCCAGGAGGAGGCAGAGGUCUGGGGAAGGCUUCCCUGAGCAGGUGACAUGUGGGCUGGUGCUAUGUGAAAGAAACAGAUAGGCAAAGACCAGGAGACUUCAUAUUGUUGGUGUGUUUGAGGAACAGCCAGGUUAGAAUGUGAGGCUGGUGUGGGCAGUAGGAGGUGAGCUCAGAGGUAAGAUAAGACAGGGCCUUCCAGCCUGUAAGAAGUUUAGGUUUCACUCUAAAUGCAAAAGAUUCUUAAAAGAUUCUAAGCCUGGACUGUCCGAUAGAACUCACAAUGGGCAUAUUCUAUAAUCUUCAUGAACAAUUCAGCAACCAUUAGCUUUCCCAUAUGAUUACUAAUUGUGGCUUUUUCUACUAAAGAAUUGAAUUUUUAGUUUAACUUUAAUGACUUUAGAAUGAAAUGGUUAUAGUGGCUGCCAUAGUAGACCACCCUGUAUGACUUGCUCAAAUCUGUUGGGUGGAGAGUUGGGGAGGUGGGAGGUGGGAGCAGGGUGAGCAGUCCAGGUCUAUGGCAAUUGGCCAGGUGGGGGAUGUUGGUGAUCAGGACUGUGGUAACAGUAAGGUGACUAAGAGAGUUAGAUUGCAGGACCGUUCUGGAAAUAGAGUCAUAGGACUUGCAGAUGGGAAUGAGGGAGGGCCAGCCAUGGGGCUAACAAUGGAAUGCUGUCUGACACGAGCAAGCAGAGCUGCCCAUGUGAGGCUUCAGGAGCCCAUGGCCCAUCCACAGGGAGGAGUCAGGUGGACAGAGGGUGAGUCUGCAGGAACAUUCAAGACCACAGGUAGAAAUUGGAGUGUAAUCAGUGAACAGCUGGUGUUUGUAGCCACAGGGCUGAAGACUCUUCUCCUCGUUGAAUGAGGCCCUGGGUUUAAUUCUACUGUAUGGGAUGGAGGGUGCAGAGGAAAAGAAAAGAAAUAAACUUUUGUUGUUUAUAAGCCAGCCAGGCUAUGGUAUUUUGUUAUAGCAGCCCAAAUGGACUAAACAAGACAAUAUACUUGUUUGAGUCCACUUUUAGUUUUUUUGGGCACGCAUAUCUAGGAGUGGAAUUUCUGGAUCCAUAUGGCAGUUCCAUCUCUCACUUUUUGAAGAACUGCACAGGUGAGUUUUUUUUUUCUAAUUCACCCAAAGGUGCCAGGUGAGUGGGCACAGUGAGAAUCUCACAGUCUUCAGGAUUCCCAUGUACCCAGCCUUUGACAGGUGCUCAGCCUGGGGCUUCACAGAGAUAAAUUCUUUCCAUCUUCACAGCCAUUAUUUCAGUGAGGAUCAGGUAAGGAGCUCAGGUAAGGGGGCGAUCACCCCAUCACACAGCAGUAAAUGAGAGCCCUAGUCUGCCUAUGUCCCAAAUCAGUGUUCUUUUUUUUUUGGUACCAGGGAUCAAAGUCGGGUCUUUGUGCUUGCACGGCAGGUGGUGAAACCAUUGAGCUAAAUCCCCGGCCCCCAAAUCAGUGUUCUUGACCAGUGUACUAUCAGGCAGAUGAUCAGAUGAGCAUUAGGAAGUUGGAAGUCUUUCUGCCCUAAGACCUACUUAAGGGUGACUGAAAAAUGCCUUUUCUUUCUCCUUCCCUGUCCUAUCUCUAG